GGAAAUUUGAAGAGAUUUUGAGGGCAGAAAACCCACAAAUUACCGAUGCACAAUUAGGUGUUCAACUUCAAGAUAACUUUGUUUCGUGGUUUGCUAAAUAUGCAUCACAAAACGAAGAGCUUGAUUGUAUAUUUAGAGACAUUGUGCAUGGUCCAUUGAUGAAAGUUGACACUUACACUAUCUGCUUCGUAAAUGGAUAUUAUUUCCAUAAUGAGAAUCGUGGUUCCACAAGAGAAACUUACAAUAGUGGAGUAUCCAUAGAAGGUGGUGGACUCGAAUAUUAUGGAAAGAUUGAAGAAAUUUUGGAAAUAGAGUUCCCGUCACUCCCGAUUAAACGGUGUGUUGUUUUUAAAUGUAAUUGGUAUGAUCCUACAAUAGGUGUGGGUACAAAAAAAUAUGAGAAAUAUAACAUAGUAGAGAUCAACAAAAUGAAGCACCUCCAAACAUAUGAGCCAUUUAUUUUGGCAAUGCAAGCAUCACAAGUAUCCUACAUCUCGUUCCCAAGCACAAAAAGAGACAAAGAUGAUUGGGUUGCAGUUUGUAGAGUUAAGCCUCACGAUUGGAUUGAAAUAAAAGAGGGGGAUAAAAAGAUGAUGAUUGAACAUUAAACUUAUCAAGACCCCACAGUACAGACAUGAAGCAUUGAAGUGGUUAGUAUUGCAGAGGGUUUCAAUCUGGUGGAUGUUGAUGGUGAUAGUGGAAUCCCAUUGGUUGUAUUUGAUAUUCGGAUGAUGAAGAGGUGUAUAUGGAAACCAACGAGGAUGAAACAUUAUUAUUUGAGUUGUCAACUGAUGAAGAAGAUUCUAAUACAUAGUGAGAAAUGAAAUAUUUUAAAUAAUUGAUGUCUCGAGAUCGCUCUUGGGAUCAGAUGCAAAGGAUAUUGAUGAGGCCCUUCUACUUGUUAGAGCCCAAGAGGGUCAGGGUGAGCGUUGUGAUGAUGCACUUGCGCAUCCAGAUGAUGACCCAGGUUCAGCUCCGCCUCCAGCUUCAUCCACUACUGGGGCCCGGUCUUCGAUCAUCGUUUAGGAUGAUGGCAUGUUUGAGAUUAUUUGAAUGGAAUGAAUAUUUGUUUAAAAAUUAUUCUUAUAAUUUUAAUAUGAUUAAUAUUUCAGCCUAUUUUGGCCACGUAAGGUUACUAGAAAAUUCUGUCAAGUGUUUCGAUCUAAUGUUGAUGAGGCUGGAAUCACUUGGAAUAAGGUUCCAGCAAUCAUAAAGGAAUGGUAUUGGAAAAAAUUUAAGUGGAUGGUCAAGUUAAGGAGAAGUUGAAAUCCAAGGCUCGCGCUGCAUAUGGUAAUUGGAUGUAUGAUAUUAGAUCUGGCCGGGGGACAAAUCCGGAUGAGCAAAUUGAUGAGACAAUAAUGGUUGAGUGGCGGAAAAUUUGGUGAUCUGAUGAUGCAAAACAUAAAUCAGAUACAACAAAAAAUAAUAGGCAUCGUGGGAAUAUGACUGGUCGUGCUAAGUCGACGCACACUGGUGGCUCACGAUCUUUUAUGGAGUCAGCGCAAAAGCUGAGUGAGGUGGAUGCCGUUGAAGCACAAAUGACUCAAUAAGGAAAUACAUCAUAUGAUCUGGAUAACGUAUUUCUCACUGUAGUACGACGUGACAAAAAAAUCGUAUAUAUGGGCUGGGAUCACUAGUGGAGACUGUUCCUCCUCGACCAUCAUCCUUCUGCAACGAUGGUCGUACUCCAGUGACAUUCAUCCUUGAAGAACGAUUGACAAAGAUGGAGUGUGACCUAAGUGAGUUGCGGACAAAGCUUGGUGAGGGAUGUAGUCAUUGGGAAAUAAUGCAACAACGCGUUACAAAUAUGGAGAAUAAAAAAAGAGCCAUAUACAAAUUGAACUUGACCAUUAUGGAGUAAUUACAACGUAUUGAAGCAUCAUCUAUUCAUAGGCCCGACCCCGAUUCAGAUGGUGGUAGUGCUCCGGUAUCAUGAUAUUUC